GAUCAUGGCUCAGGAUGAACGCUGGCGGCGUGCUUAACACAUGCAAGUCGAGCGAAGCAAUUUAAGUGAAGUUUUCGGAUGGAUCUUAGAUUGACUGAGCGGCGGACGGGUGAGUAACGCGUGGAUAACCUGCCUCACACAGGGGGAGUAACAGUUAGAAAUGACUGCUAAUACCGCAUAAGCGCACAGUACCGCAUGGUAUAGUGUGAAAACUACCGUGGU
rnacentral:rRNA from 1 species